AUCUCUCAUCCCUCAAAAGAAGAAAUAAGAAUUACUCUCUCUAUUCUCUCUACUCUUCUUCUUUGUUCUAUCUUGUUCUCUCUACUCUUCUUCUUUGUUCUUUCUUGUUUUAUAACAGCUAAGAUGAGAUUUUCCUCUUUUUUCUAAAAAGAUGUCAUUUAAACCCUAUCUGAUUUUCUCUGUCUUUGCCCCGAGGUUGCGAGCCCAAACCCCUUCUUCCCUAUUUUUGAUAAAAGGCGAAGGUGCAUAGCGUAGAAGAAGCGGGUGGAAGGAAUUUGUUUAAAAAAAAUGGGAAAAUCCAGUCGAGAUAGAUAUGAUUUUAUGGAACUAGGAUUAGGAAUUAAGUAGUCUCAAAGUUGUGAUGAUGUCAUUUUCUUUUGUUGAGGUAUUAUUAUGUAUUUAAUUUGUCAUUGUGGAGGAGAGUAUGGUGGUUAUGUUCUCCGAAAAUAUAAAAGUCUGCUAGCUUUUAAUUAGUUAUGUACACGUUAUUCGCUUAAGUUUGUGCGGACUGUUUAUGAUAGUAAGGGUUUCUUGGGAACGUUUUCUGCUAAUUCUACUCGGGAAUAAAGUUUUUUUCUUCCAUUCUGAAAUAUGUUGGCAGCCCUCUAGUUUACUCCACUAACCGAUAAUAUGGACAGUUUUACAUUCACUUGAAAUAUGUAUGUGAGUACUCACAAUGUCCUGAGAUCUGGUUAUCCCUUUGCUAUUUUAAUUAAUUUUAUCUACGAGUUUGUGUCGUUGCAUUUUGAGGUCCUAAAGAUAAAUGUUUAGUUGGUUUUUGAGAAACAUAUAUGUAUCUUGUGCUUAGGUUUGUAAAUCCGUGAGUUGGUGGCCUACGUUUGCUUGAGUCUUGG
rnacentral:lncRNA from 1 species